GACAGAGGGUGCAAACGUUGCUCGGAAUCACUGGGCGUAAAGGGCGUGUAGGCGGGACAGUAAGUCGGGCGUGAAAUCCCUGGGCUCAACCCAGGAACUGCACUCGAAACUACUAUUCUUGAGUGUCGGAGAGGAAAGCGGAAUUCCUGGUGUAGAGGCGAAAUUCGUAGAUAUCAGGAGGAACACCAGUGGCGAAGGCGGCUUUCUGGACGAUAACUGACGCAUGAGACG
rnacentral:rRNA from 1 species